CGCCAGACUCCUACGGGAGGCAGCAGUGGGGGAUAUUGCACAAUGGGGGGAACCCUGAUGCAGCGACGCCGCGUGGAGGAAGAAGUAUCUCGGUAUGUAAACUCCUAUCAGCAGGGAAGAAAAUGACGGUACCUGACUAAGAAGCCCCGGCUAACUACGUGCCAGCAGCCGCGGUAAUACGUAGGGGGCAAGCGUUAUCCGGAUUUACUGGGUGUAAAGGGAGCGUAGACGGCGGUGCAAGCCAGAUGUGAAAGCCCGGGGCUCAACCCCGGGACUGCAUUUGGAACUGUGCUGCUAGAGUGUCGGAGAGGCAGGCGGAAUUCCUAGUGUAGCGGUGAAAUGCGUAGAUAUUAGGAGGAACACCAGUGGCGAAGGCGGCCUGCUGGACGAUGACUGACGUUGAGGCUCGAAAGCGUGGGGAGCAAACAGGAUUAGAUACCCCCGUAA
rnacentral:rRNA from 1 species